GCCGCUCCCCGGACGGUCGCAGUCCUGCCGGUCUUGUAUUGGCGGGGUUGAGGAAAGUCCGGACGCCAAAGGGCAGCGCGCCUUGUGAACAACAGGGGACGACCGGUUCAAGCCUGUCGGACGGAAAGUGCAGCAGAAAACAAACCGCCCCCCUUUGCCAAGGCUUCGGGGGGUAAGGGUGAAAAGGUGGGGUAAGAGCCCACCGCUCCAAGGGUAACCGAGGAGGCACGGUAAACCCCGCGUGGCGCAAGACAUAACAGGGGAAGGGUAGCCCGCCCGAUCAGGAUCCCCGGGUAUUAGUCGCACCAUCCCGCAAGGGAGGUUUCCCGCAAGGGAUAAGAUAAAUGACCGUCCAUCAGCGCGAAAGCACUGAGGACAGAAUCCGGCUUACAGGGGAGCGGCAACU
rnacentral:RNase_P_RNA from 1 species